AGUCGAGCGAACAGAUAAGGAGCUUGCUCCUUUGACGUUAGCGGCGGACGGGUGAGUAACACGUGGGUAACCUACCUAUAAGACUGGGAUAACUUCGGGAAACCGGAGCUAAUACCGGAUAACAUUUGGAACCGCAUGGUUCUAAAGUGAAAGAUGGUUUUGCUAUCACUUAUAGAUGGACCCGCGCCGUAUUAGCUAGUUGGUAAGGUAACGGCUUACCAAGGCGACGAUACGUAGCCGACCUGAGAGGGUGAUCGGCCACACUGGAACUGAGACACGGUCCAGACUCCUACGGGAGGCAGCAGUAGGGAAUCUUCCGCAAUGGGCGAAAGCCUGACGGAGCAACGCCGCGUGAGUGAUGAAGGGUUUCGGCUCGUAAAACUCUGUUAUUAGGGAAGAACAAAUGUGUAAGUAACUGUGCACAUCUUGACGGUACCUAAUCAGAAAGCCACGGCUAACUACGUGCCAGCAGCCGCGGUAAUACGUAGGUGGCAAGCGUUAUCCGGAAUUACUGGGCGUAAAGCGCGCGUAGGCGGUUUCUUAAGUCUGAUGUGAAAGCCCACGGCUCAACCGUGGAGGGUCAUUGGAAACUGGGAAACUUGAGUGCAGAAGAGGAAAGUGGAAUUCCAUGUGUAGCGGUGAAAUGCGCAGAGAUAUGGAGGAACACCAGUGGCGAAGGCGACUUUCUGGUCUGUAACUGACGCUGAUGUGCGAAAGC
rnacentral:rRNA from 1 species